rnacentral:rRNA from 1 species
AUGAACGCUGGCGGCGUGCCUCAUACAUGCACGUCGAGCGAACAGACGAGGAGCUUGCUCCUCUGACGUUAGCGGCGGACGGGUGAGUAACACGUGGAUAACCUACCUAUAAGACUGGGAUAACUUCGGGAAACCGGAGCUAAUACCGGAUAAUAUAUUGAACCGCAUGGUUCAAUAGUGAAAGACGGUUUUGCUGUCACUUAUAGAUGGAUCCGCGCCGCAUUAGCUAGUUGGUAAGGUAACGGCUUACCAAGGCAACGAUGCGUAGCCGACCUGAGAGGGUGAGCGGCCACACUGGAACUGAGACACGGUCCAGACUCCUACGGGAGGCAGCAGUAGGGAAUCUUCCGCAAUGGGCGAAAGCUUGACGGAGCAACGCCGCGUGAGUGAUGAAGGUCUUCGGAUCGUAAAACUCUGUUAUUAGGGAAGAACAAAUGUGUAAGUAACUAUGCACGUCUUGACGGUACCUAAUCAGAAAGCCACGGCUAACUACGUG